GCAAAGAGCUCAGUUAAUAGAGCAUGAGACACUUAAUCUCAAGGUUGUGGGUUCAAGUCCCAAUUUUGGCA